rnacentral:rRNA from 1 species
AUUGAACGCUGGCGGCAGGCCUAACACAUGCAAGUCGAGCGGAUGAGAGGAGCUUGCUCCUUGAUUCAGCGGCGGACGGGUGAGUAAUGCCUAGGAAUCUGCCUGGUAGUGGGGGAUAACGUUCCGAAAGGAACGCUAAUACCGCAUACGUCCUACGGGAGAAAGCAGGGGACCUUCGGGCCUUGCGCUAUCAGAUGAGCCUAGGUCGGAUUAGCUAGUUGGUGAGGUAAUGGCUCACCAAGGCGACGAUCCGUAACUGGUCUGAGAGGAUGAUCAGUCACACUGGAACUGAGAUACGGUCCAGACUCCUACGGGAGGCAGCAGUGGGGAAUAUCGGACAAUGGGCGAAAGCCUGAUCCAGCCAUGCCGCGUGUGUGAAGAAGGUCUUCGGAUUGUAAAGCACUUUAAGUUGGGAGGAAGGGCAGUAAGUUAAUACCUUGCUGUUUUGACGUUACCAACAGAAUAAGCACCGGCUAACUUCGUGCCAGCAGCCGCCGUAACAC